AUGAACGCUAGCGACAGGCCUAACACAUGCAAGUCAGGGGCAGCACAAGGAGCAAUCUGAGGUGGCGACCGGCGCACGGGUGAGUAACACGUAUGCAACCUGCCUGUAAGCGGGGAAUAACCCGUUGAAAGACGGACUAAUACCGCAUAAUACUAAAUUACUGCAUGGUAAUUUAUUUAAACAUUUAUGGCUUACAGAUGGGCAUGCGCAUGAUUAGCUAGUUGGAGAGGUAACGGCUCCCCAAGGCAACGAUCAUUAGGGGUUCUGAGAGGAAGGUCCCCCCACACUGGUACUGAGACACGGACCAGACUCCUACGGGAGGCAGCAGUGAGGAAUAUUGGUCAAUGGACGAGAGUCUGAACCAGCCAAGUCGCGUGCAGGAAGAAUGUCCCUAUGGAUUGUAAACUGCUUUUGCAGGGGAAUAAAGUGCAUCACGUGUGAUGUUUUGUAUGUACUCUGCGAAUAAGGAUCGGCUAACUCCGUGCCAGCAGCGGC
rnacentral:rRNA from 1 species